UACGGAAGGCAGCAGUGGGGAAUAUUGCACAAUGGGCGCAAGCCUGAUGCAGCCAUGCCGCGUGUAUGAAGAAGGCCUUCGGGUUGUAAAGUACUUUCAGUCGUGAGGAAGGUGUUAAGGUUAAUAACCUUAGCAAUUGACGUUAGCGACAGAAGAAGCACCGGCUAACUCCGUGCCAGCAGCCGCGGUAAUACGGAGGGUGCGAGUGUUAAUCGGAAUUACUGGGCGUAAAGGGCACGCAGGCGGUUAAUUAAGUUGGAUGUGAAAUCCCCGGGCUUAACCUGGGAAUGGCAUUCAAGACUGGUUAGCUAGAGUCUUGUAGAGGGGGUAGAAUUCCAUGUGUAGCGGUGAAAUGCGUAGAGAUGUGGAGGAAUACCGGUGGCGAAAGGCGGCCCCUGGACAAAGACUGACGCUCAUGUGCGAAAGCGUGGGGAGCAAACAAGAUUAGAUACC
rnacentral:rRNA from 1 species